UACGUAGGGUGCAAACGUUGUUCGGAAUCACUGGGCAUAAAGAGCGCGUAGGCGGUCUGACAAGUCCCCUGUGAAAGCCCCCGGCUUAACCGGAAAAGGGCCUUGGAAACUGGCGGUCUCGAGGGAGGUAGGGGCCUGUGGAACUUCGGGUGGAGCGGUGAAAUGCGUUGAUAUCCGAAGGAACGCCGGUGGCGAAAGCGACGGGCUGGAUCUCUUCUGACGCUGAGGCGCGAAAGCCAGGGGAGCAAACGGG
rnacentral:rRNA from 1 species